rnacentral:rRNA from 1 species
UACAGAGGGUGCGAGCGUUAAUCGGAAUUACUGGGCGUAAAGCGCGCGUAGGCGGCUUUUCAAGUCGAUUGUGAAAUCCCCAGGCUCAACCUGGGAACUGCACUCGAAACUUCCGGUCUAGAGUGGUGGAGAGGGAAGUGGAAUUCCUGGUGUAGAGGUGAAAUUCGUAGAUAUCAGGAGGAACACCAGUGGCGAAGGCGGCUUCCUGGACACCAACUGACGCUGAGACGCGAAAGCGUGGGGAGCAAACAGG